rnacentral:rRNA from 1 species
GAUGAACGCUGGCGGCGUGCCUAAUACAUGCAAGUCGAGCGAACAGACGAUGAGCUUGCUCCUCUGACGUUAGCGGCGGACGGGUGAGUAACACGUGGAUAACCUACCUAUAAGACUGGUAUAACUUCGGGAAACCGGAGCUAAUACCGUAUAAUAUAUUGAACCGCAGUGUUCAAUAGUGAAAUACGGUGUUUCUGUCACGUAUAGAGGGAUCCGGACCGCAUUAGCUAGUUGUUAAGUUCACGGCUUACCAAGGCGACGAUGCGUAGCCGACCUGUGAGGCUGAUCGGCGACACUGGAACGGGGCCACGGUCAAGAGUCCUACGGGAGGGAGCAGAAGGCAAUCGUCCGCAAUGGGCGGAAGCCUGACGGAGCAACGCCGAGUGAGUGAUGACGGUCUUCGGAUCGUAAAACUCUGUUAUUAGGGAAGAACAACUGUGUACGUAACUAUGCACGUCUUGACGGUACCUAAUAAGAAAGCCCCGGCUAACUACGUG